UACGAAGGGGGCUAGCGUUGCUCGGAAUCACUGGGCGUAAAGCGCACGUAGGCGGGUCUUUAAGUCAGGGGGGAAAUCCUGGAGCUCAACUCCAGAACUGCCUUUGAUACUGGAGAGCUUGAGUCCGGGAGAGGUGAGUGGAACUCCGAGUGUAGAGGUGAAAUUCGUAGAUAUUCGGAAGAACACCAGUGGCGAAGGCGGCUCACUGGCCCGGUACUGACGCUGAGGUGCGAAAGCGUGGGGAGCAAACAGG
rnacentral:rRNA from 1 species